UACGGAGGGUGCAAACGUUGCUCGGAAUCAUUGGGCGUAAAGCGCACGUAGGCGGUCCGUUAAGUCGGGUGUGAAAUCCCUCGGCUCAACCGAGGAAGUGCAUUCGAAACUGGCGGACUUGAAUAUGGAAGAGGGUCGUGGAAUUCCCGGCGUAGAGGUGAAAUUCGUAGAUAUCGGGAGGAACACCAGUGGCGAAGGCGGCGACCUGGGCCAAUAUUGACGCUGAGGUGCGAAAGCGUGGGAGCAAGCAGGAUUGAGA
rnacentral:rRNA from 1 species